CCAACGUGGACAUCCUGUGAGGCGGCUCUUAUGCGGCUCUGUCCGUGUGGUGUAUGGGAGCAUAGCACUCUAGUGCCAUGACAUUGGAUAGCAUGCAUGUCCCCAGCAUUUAGCUGGUGAGGAUGGUGUCUUGUAUAUUUCUAGGCCUUCAGCCUCACGGGCCGUUACUGGGGAGGUUAACCAUGCAGCGUACAGCA